UUUUACUCUUUUAUGUAUAGGACAAGAACUACAGAAGAUACAGAGAAAUAAUAUACAGCAGAAAUGAUAGGCAAUGUAAAAUUUGCAGAAGCCAACUAAACCUAAAUGGUGAUCAGACAUCUUGGUUUUCAUGAUCAAUAGGUCAUUACUGAAGAGGAAACUUAAAAUUGAAAUUUAUUUACAUAACUGCAUAAUUGGAUUAAUUUGAAAUGGAAUGUGUGCUUUCCUGCAAAAAAGAAAUAGGAAAUUUCAACAUGUGAUAAUGACCAUAUAAAACAAAAUGGAGUUCUAUCAUAGAUACACAAAAACACUAUUGCAUAAAAGCAACAACAUAUCUUAA